UCCCCCUCCCUUGCAGCGUCACGUGAUGUUUUCGCCGUGGUGCCGCUGAGGCAGCUUGUGUGAGUGAAAGUAGCAGAGCCCGGCGCGUUGCGACCGGCCGGGAGCGGGUGAGCGAGGGGCAAGCGUUGCAGUCACUGGCGAGCUCGUGUGCGGAGCGGAGCCCUCCGGCGCCUCAUGUCCAGCCGGGCUUGGAGGACGCUUCCCUUGUGAGGGCGGAUUCCCCCCUACCCCAGCUCUCUGGCCCCUAAGAUGGCGAGUGGGAUGAAUGGCCCGGGCGGAGGAGGUGGCAGCACCGCGGUCAGGGGCGCCGAGGCGGAGCUGGGCAGCCGGAGCGUUGGAGGAGGGGUCGCUCCCUGCCACGGGGCUGGAGUGCCUAGGACUGCUACUACGGCUGAGGAGCAGCAGGAGCUGGGCGAGAGCGGCCCCUACCCGCCCACUCAGCCCCACCACCUGCUGCUGCUGCUGAAAAGAUCGCCCAGCGCCUCCUUGUGCCUGGUGCAGGAGGAGGAGGUGCCCGCUGCUGCGGCUCCCACAGGGCGAGGAGCCCUCUCUGGUGGGCGAGGUGGCCAGCCAGCCGCCCCAGCACGAGGAGCUCCUCUGCCAGCUGCUCCCUCCGUGGCUCCUGCGGGGGAUGAUGUGAGGAAAUGUGGCUACUUGAGGAAGCAGAAGCAUGGCCACAAGCGCUACUUUGUGUUGCGGGCCGAGAGCCACCUGGCCUCAGCGAGGCUUGAAUACUAUGACAGUGAGAAGAAGUUCAAGAGCAGCCUGAGGGCAGCAGCAGCUGCUAGUGGGUCUGCCAUCCUCUGCUGCCCCCCUCCCAAGCGAGUGAUCCCCCUGUAUCAGUGCUUCACAGUCAGCCGGAGGGCAGAUGCCAAGCAUAAGUACAUCAUUGCCCUUUAUACCAAGGAUGAAUACUUUGCCAUGUUGGCUGAGAAUGAGGUGGAGCAGGAGGCCUGGUACCAGGCCAUCAGUGAGCUCAUGAACCAGAGCAAGAGGGGGUUCUUAGAACAGGAGGACCAGACAGAUCAGCAGAUGGAUGAAGAUGAUGAGCAUUAUGGAGCUGCACUUAGACCAGGCACCAUAUACAAGGAGGUGUGGCAGGUUAAUGUGAAGCCCAAGGGACUGGGGCAGACAAAGAACCUGACUGGGGUGUACAGGUUGUGCCUAUCUAGCAAGGCUAUCUACCUAGUCAAGCUGAAUUCAGAGGUACCUGCUGUCCACUUGCAGCUAAUGAACAUCCGCCGCUGUGGGCACUCGGAGAACUUCUUCUUUAUUGAGGUGGGCAGAUCUGCUUCUAUUGGGCCUGGUGAACUGUGGAUGCAAGUGGAUGAUUCAGUAGUUGCCCAGAAUAUGCAUGAGACCUUCCUAGAGACCAUGAAAGCUCUUAAGGCCUUCACAGAAUUCAGGCCCCGCAGCAAGAGCCAGUCAUCUGGUGGUGGCAGUGGUACCAAUCCUAUCUCCUUUAUCACCACUAGGAGGCAUCUGGGCAACCUGCCUCCUAGCCAGACUGGCUUGCAGAGAAGAUCCAGAACUGAGUGUGUUACUGGGGGGACUCCGCCCACCACCAAGAGUAGCAGUUCAUACCGCUUCAGAACAUCUAGUGAAGGGGAAGGGACAAUGACCAGACCUUUCAGAUCAGUGACUGGAAGUCUGAUCCAUUUGAACACUGCAAGGAUGAACUUGGGCCGGCAAGAAGGGAGUGGAAGGUAUGUCAGAGCAGCUUUCACCUCUUCUUAUCAUACCAGGUCUGCCUCCCUGCCAGUGUCUCAUUUCCCCUCCACCACCAGCCCCAUUAGUGUUUCUUCCAGUAGUGGCCAUGGCUCUGCCUCAGACACGCUAACCAGGCCUUCCAGUUCAUCUGUCUGUGGGUCCCCAAGUGAUGGGGGCUUUAUUUCUUCUGAUGAAUAUGGCUCUAGCCCUGGGGAUUUCAGGUACUUUCGUGUCAGAAGUAAUACUCCAGAUUCCUUGGGAAACACACCACCUAUCAGAGAAGAGAAUUGUUUAAGUGAAUACAUGUCCAUGAAUAAACAGCAAACAGAUGAUAGCUCAAGGGAUGAUUAUAUGGAAGCUGAAAAAUGCUUCAGAAAAAGAACUUAUUCUCUGACUAAACCAACUUCUGCAACAGUGCAGCAGAAAACAACACAAACCACGGCUUCUUUAGAUGAAGAUUCUGCAGGAAGGCACAGACAGUUACCUUGUUCAGAAUCACCAAAAUUAAAAGAAAACUAUGAACCUGACUACAGUGAUGCUACCCUUGAUUCUGUAUGUAACCAAAGCAGAAGUAAAGCCAGGGAUGAUGGAUACAUGCCAAUGAUGCCAGGAGUUGCAUCUUCACUCACAAACAACAAUGAUUAUUUGCCAAUGACUCCUAAAAGUGUGUCUGUCCCAAAACAGAUUAGUAAUUCUUGGUCGUCAUCUCAGGUGGACUCCAGAGGAUAUAUGAUGAUGUUUCCCAGGGCUAGUUCUUCACCUGUACGAAGUCCAUUGGCUGGAUUUAUUUCUAAAGGGGGUAAUGAAAAGGUGACAAAUGAGUAUAUGGAUAUGUCACCUGGUAAUUCAGCAGUUCCAAAACAGCCCAGUGAUUCAAAUUGUGUUCAUAUCAACCCUGUUUCCAAAGGCAUCAGUUCAUAUUUCUCUCUGCCACGAAGCUUUAAGACGUUAUCAGGACAAAAUGGAGAUCAUAAUGAAUAUGUUCCAAUGUCCUCACCUGGAAAACUGUUAUAUGGUGAACAUGAAAAUGUCAAAUGUGUCAACAGUGAACCGUUAGCUAAUGGCAUUUCUAAAUCAUCAGUUGUGAAAGUGUCAGAUGAAGGCCUUGCACAGAACAGGGCUACCAGGCCUACAAGACUUCCCCUAGGUACAAGAGGAAGUAAUACUAUACCAAGAAUGUAUGAUCGAACAGCUCCACCUGAGCCUGCUAGCCCCGGUGAAUACAUAAAUAUUGAUUUCAGUGAAAAAGCAAGUAAUACACCAUAUUCUUUAUCUGCAGAAGGAUCUCCAUCAUCUCUAGGAUCGAGUAGUGACCACAGACAGUCACCACUUUCUGAUUACAUGAGUGUUGACCUUGAUGUGCAGUCACCAAAAGUAGCAAAGGAACUGUCAAAUUCUUUAACAGAUAUUUCAAUUUAUGCAAGUUCCAGUAUCCCCAGAAACCAGCCAAAUGAUUAUGCUAGACUUUCAUUUGAUACUGCUUGUGUUAGCAGUACAAGUAGUAGGGCUGAUGAUUACACAGAGAUGACUUUCAACAUGGCAACGACACCACUUGGGCCUUUUACCGCAGAAUCCAGCAAUGGUAUAAAGAUUGAUAGUCCUUCUUCCAUUGUAAAUCGACUGUGCGUUGUUGACAGAUAUUCAGGUAGCGGUAGCUUCUCUGUUCCUAGCUCUGAUCCUCCCAUGGGACCUAAGGUGAUUCGAGCUGACCCACAAGGCCGAAGAAGGCAUAGUUCUGAAACAUUCUCUUCUGCUGGGGCUGUGACUACUUCCUCUUCUUUCUUUACGGAUAGUAGCAAAAGACACAGCUCUGCCUCAUUUGACAAUGUUUGGUUGAAACCUGACGAAAACAUUUCUGAUGGUCACGAAAGCAAGAUGUCCAGGGAUACUUCAACUGGAUUUCAGAAUGGCUUAAACUACAUAGCUUUGAAUUUACGUGAUGAUUCUAUGAACUGUGAGGCAAGCACUAAUACACCAACUUGCCAUCUCCAAAAUGGUACUUCGAAUUUGGACAGUGGAGCUUAUGUAAGCAUAGAUUUCACCAGAUCUGAUGAUUUGAAGUGUAACUCUGCAAGAAAAGCCACAUGCAGCUAACAGGGGCUUUUCUUGCCGCCAGAGCCUCCUGGAGGGGAAGAGCAGUGGCCUCUCCCUUGGGGCUGCCAGCAGUGAUUGGGCCCUGCCCACCUCUGGAGACACAAGAUGGAGAAGCAGGUGGAGAACUGACUGCAUUGCCAUGGAAACCAUUGUUAGAAGAGGCGGCUUUUCUACUGGUAUCUCCAGAAACUGUGUGGUGCUUUUGGAAGCAGAGCUCAACUCCAGCUAGCUACUUUCACUUCCACCAGCACAGACAUACACACAUCAUUGUAAUGAUUUUUGCUUAGACAUCAGCUGUUUAUAGUUGAGUUAAUUUGAAUUAGGAUUUUUCAUAGCUGUGUUUUGGUGAUGGAAUUUGUUUUUCCACAGCACAUUUGUUUGAGAGGCAUUGGGAAUGCUGCAGAGGGGAUUCCUACAACUUCCUUUUUACUUCUCUCUGCCUCUCCCCCUAAUUUGUUUUUAUUUAUAUUGAGAAGUCAAAGCUGGUGGCUGAUAGUCUAUUUAAUAUGGGUUUUGUUUCUCUGGUACGUUAGCUUAAACAUGUAUUGCUUAGAAAUAUUUUGGCAGGUCAGAAAUUUUUUCUUUUGAGGGGGCUGAGAGAGAACCAUGUAACUGAACCUAAAUCUGUGAUGGACAUACCUCUUUGAUAUUUUGCUUUAUAGUAUAGGAGGUAGUUUUUGAUCACAGAGCUUAGUAUUUUUAAUUGUAUGUCAGAGCUUAUACUGAAGUUUGUUGCUCAGAAUUCUGAUAUGUAUAAGGUAAGAUUAAAGGGCUGGUUGUCUUGUUGAUUACACGUAAAUUAUCCCGGACCAUUUGUUUAUAAACAUGUAUAAAAUAUAAAAGGAGGUUUCCAUUCAUGCACUCAAAUGAGAAGGUGCAGGGUCUUUUACAACUUCUGCUUUACAAUAUUGAUGUGUGCUGUAGCUUUUUAGAGAGAAACCACCCUACCUGAUCUUACUUUCAUCCAAAGCCCUCUUUUAAUUUGGGACCAUUUUUUUUUUUUUUUUUGCAUAAUGAGAAAGUAAAUAAUUGGGUUAUCACUUAAUGUUUUCUGCCUAAAGAAAAAUUGCAAACCAUGAUUAUUUCAAAUUAAAAAUAAAUUAUAAAAAAUCAGAGCUAGCUGCAUCACUCUUACUGAUUUUGGUUCAAAUCAGUUUAGGCUUUUAACACUGCUAUGACCUUCAAAAGCAUGACACUAGUUGUUGGAACAUACAAUGUAUAAUAAUAAAAGGCACUGACUUGAUAAGGGGUUUAAAGUGGUACACAAAUCCUCAUGCUGUACUGCACCACACAGCUGGUAAUCCUCUACAUUGUAUAUUGUACAAGUGUUUUGUAGGGCUGCCUCACAUGACAUACAACCUUUAAAAUACUAGUACAGUUUGUAUAACAAAUUAGAUGCUGUCAGUUUUGAUGUUGAGUGAUGUGUACCUAAAUCUAUUUUUGAGUAGUCUUAAAAUGUACAUGUCACAAAAUUAUAAAGACCUUUUUGCAAACUUAAUAUGAGUUUACAAAUUAACAGGAAAGAAAUACUUGCUGCAGAGUUUAAAAGCACAGAUGUGUUCUUGAAUCUGGAAGAGAAGUUAGUCAGUACAGUUACUAGUUGCUGCUAAACAUACUUUGAUAAUUCAUUUAAAAAAUAUUACCACUUCUAUAGACCAUGACACUGUCUUGCCAUACAGUUUUUGUUUGAGCGUAGUAAAUUAAUAAGGCAAUAUGUAGACAGCCAUUUUAAAGCUGCUUUUUUUUCUUCCAAACAAAUUGAAAUUUGGAUGAUAGUUCAGAACAUCUAAUGGGAAAAGAAAAGGUUGUGUUGAAAAAAUUGAACAUGUUACAUACCUUAUUUAUAUAUUAGGUCCUGAGGCUGCCAUUGUACAAUAUACAGCACUGAUUUAAUAAAUGCUGAAUAAAUAACUAAAUGAAUAACCUCAAAUAUAGUGGUACAAAUACUAACAGGUACAGCAUAAUAAAUAUGCAAUCUUUUUGAAUCUUAGUUUACAGCCACUAAUUUAUUCAGUAUUGUGCUGGAAGAACACUUUCAGAAUAUGUAAAACAUAUCACUACGUAUACUACCUUCCAGCUACCCGUUUAUGCUGCUGUAUAGUACAAAAAUACCAAUGAUGGAACAAUGUUUGUCCUGUAAAUUUAAUUUGAUAUUGGACAGUUAUUGUCUGUACAAACUAAAAUGUCUAUGGUUGAAACUGUUCAUUAUAUUUGCUAUUUCUGCUUUAGCCCUGUUUAAAAGUUGAGCUGAUUGAUCUGGCUUUGUCUUCCAUUGUAAAUAUUGUUGCAUUGUUUUCUUUGUAAAACAUAUCGCACUUGCGGUUUUGGGAGACUGGCUUGAAGCUCUGUAUAGUGUUUAUAUUUAUCUGACUUGGCUUUCCAUAGAGCUACUCGCAGUAAAUGUGUUCAUGUA